rnacentral:rRNA from 1 species
CUACGGGGGGCAGCAGUGGGGAAUAUUGCACAAUGGAGGAAACUCUGAUGCAGCAACGCCGCGUGGAGGAUGACACUUUUCGGAGCGUAAACUCCUUUUAUAUAGGAAGAUAAUGACGGUACUAUAUGAAUAAGCACCGGCUAACUCCGUGCCAGCAGCCGCGGUAAUACGGAGGGUGCAAGCGUUACUCGGAAUCACUGGGCGUAAAGAGCGUGUAGGCGGAUUAAUAAGUCAGAUGUGAAAGCCAAUGGCUCAACCAUUGAACUGCAUUUGAAACUGUUAAUCUAGAAUAUGGGAGAGGUAGAUGGAAUUUCUGGUGUAGGGGUAAAAUCCGUAGAGAUCAGAAGGAAUACCGAUUGCGAAGGCGAUCUACUGGAACAUUAUUGACGCUGAGACGCGAAAGCGUGGGGAGCAAACAGGAUUAGAUACCCGUGUAGUC